rnacentral:rRNA from 1 species
UUGUGAGGUUAAGCGACUAAGCGUACACGGUGGAUGCCCUGGCAGUCAGAGGCGAUGAAGGGCGUGCUAAUCUGCGAUAAGCGCCGGUAAGGUGAUAUGAACCGUUAUAACCGGCGAUACCCGAAUGGGGAAACCCAGUGUGAUUCGUCACACUAUCAUUAACUGAAUCCAUAGGUUAAUGAGGCGAACCGGGGGAACUGAAACAUCUAAGUACCCCGAGGAAAAGAAAUCAACCGAGAUUCCCCCAGUAGCGGCGAGCGAACGGGGAGGAGCCCAGAGCCUGAAUCAGCAUGUGUGUUAGUGGAAGCGUCUGGAAAGGCGCGCGAUACAGGGUGACAGCCCCGUACACAAAAGCGCAUGUGCUGUGAGCUCGAUGAGUAGGGCGGGACACGUGGUAUCCUGUCUGAAUAUGGGGGGACCAUCCUCCAAGGCUAAAUACUCCUGACUGACCGAUAGUGAACCAGUACCGUGAGGGAAAGGCGAAAAGAACCCCGGCGAGGGGAGUGAAAAAGAACCUGAAACCGUGUACGUACAAGCAGUGGGAGCNNNNNNNNNNNNNNNNNNNNNNNNNNNNNNNNNNNNNNGGGCGUUAAGUUGCAGGGUAUAGACCCGAAACCCGGUGAUCUAGCCAUGGGCAGGUUGAAGGUUGGGUAACACUAACUGGAGGACCGAACCGACUAAUGUUGAAAAAUUAGCGGAUGACCUGUGGCUGGGGGUGAAAGGCCAAUCAAACCGGGAGAUAGCUGGUUCUCCCCGAAAGCUAUUUAGGUAGCGCCUCGUGAAUUCAUCUCCGGGGGUAGAGCACUGUUUCGGCUAGGGGGCCAUCCCGGCUUACCAACCCGAUGCAAACUGCGAAUACCGGAGAAUGUUAUCACGGGAGACACACGGCGGGUGCUAACGUCCGUCGUGAAGAGGGAAACAACCCAGACCGCCAGCUAAGGUCCCAAAGUCAUGGUUAAGUGGGAAACGAUGUGGGAAGGCCCAGACAGCCAGGAUGUUGGCUUAGAAGCAGCCAUCAUUUAAAGAAAGCGUAAUAGCUCACUGGUCGAGUCGGCCUGCGCGGAAGAUGUAACGGGGCUAAACCAUGCACCGAAGCUGCGGCAGCGANNNNNNNNNNNNNNNNNNNNNNNNNNNNNNUGCUGGAGGUAUCAGAAGUGCGAAUGCUGACAUAAGUAACGAUAAAGCGGGUGAAAAGCCCGCUCGCCGGAAGACCAAGGGUUCCUGUCCAACGUUAAUCGGGGCAGGGUGAGUCGACCCCUAAGGCGAGGCCGAAAGGCGUAGUCGAUGGGAAACGGGUUAAUAUUCCCGUACUUGGUGUUACUGCGAAGGGGGGACGGAGAAGGCUAUGUUGGCCGGGCGACGGUUGUCCCGGUUUAAGCGUGUAGGUGUGUGUUCCAGGUAAAUCCGGUUCACUUUAACACUGAGGCGUGACGACGAGGCACUACGGUGCUGAAGCAACAAAUGCCCUGCUUCCAGGAAAAGCCUCUAAGCAUCAGGUAACACGAAAUCGUACCCCAAACCGACACAGGUGGUCAGGUAGAGAAUACCAAGGCGCUUGAGAGAACUCGGGUGAAGGAACUAGGCAAAAUGGUGCCGUAACUUCGGGAGAAGGCACGCUGACACGUAGGUGAAGUGAUUUACUCAUGGAGCUGAAGUCAGUCGAAGAUACCAGCUGGCUGCAACUGUUUAUUAAAAACACAGCACUGUGCAAACACGAAAGUGGACGUAUACGGUGUGACGCCUGCCCGGUGCCGGAAGGUUAAUUGAUGGGGUCAGCGCAAGCGAAGCUCCUGAUCGAAGCCCCGGUAAACGGCGGCCGUAACUAUAACGGUCCUAAGGUAGCGAAAUUCCUUGUCGGGUAAGUUCCGACCUGCACGAAUGGCGUAAUGAUGGCCAGGCUGUCUCCACCCGAGACUCAGUGAAAUUGAACUCGCUGUGAAGAUGCAGUGUACCCGCGGCAAGACGGAAAGACCCCGUGAACCUUUACUAUAGCUUGACACUGAACAUUGAGCCUUGAUGUGUAGGAUAGGUGGGAGGCUUUGAAGUGUGGACGCCAGUCUGCAUGGAGCCGACCUUGAAAUACCACCCUUUAAUGUUUGAUGUUCUAACGUGGACCCGUAAUCCGGGUUGCGGACAGUGUCUGGUGGGUAGUUUGACUGGGGCGGUCUCCUCCUAAAGAGUAACGGAGGAGCACGAAGGUUGGCUAAUCCUGGUCGGACAUCAGGAGGUUAGUGCAAUGGCAUAAGCCAGCUUGACUGCGAGCGUGACGGCGCGAGCAGGUGCGAAAGCAGGUCAUAGUGAUCCGGUGGUUCUGAAUGGAAGGGCCAUCGCUCAACGGAUAAAAGGUACUCCGGGGAUAACAGGCUGAUACCGCCCAAGAGUUCAUAUCGACGGCGGUGUUUGGCACCUCGAUGUCGGCUCAUCACAUCCUGGGGCUGAAGUAGGUCCCAAGGGUAUGGCUGUUCGCCAUUUAAAGUGGUACGCGAGCUGGGUUUAGAACGUCGUGAGACAGUUCGGUCCCUAUCUGCCGUGGGCGCUGGAGAACUGAGGGGGGCUGCUCCUAGUACGAGAGGACCGGAGUGGACGCAUCACUGGUGUUCGGGUUGUCAUGCCAAUGGCACUGCCCGGUAGCUAAAUGCGGAAGAGAUAAGUGCUGAAAGCAUCUAAGCACGAAACUUGCCCCGAGAUGAGUUCUCCCUGAGACUUAGAGUCUCCUGAAGGAACGUUGAAGACGACGACGUUGAUAGGCCGGGUGUGUAAGCGCAGCGAUGCGUUGAGCUAACCGGUACUAAUGAACCGUGAGGC